UUUCCGUAGGUGAACCUGCGGAAGGAUCAUUAUUGUAUAACCGAGGUGCGAGGGCUGUCGCUGACCCGAAAGGUCGUGCACGCCCGAGUGACCUCACACACAUCCAUCUCACCCCUAUGUGCACCACCGCGCGCGUCCCCCAUUGGCUUGCUCGGAGGGGGGCUUCCGUUUUCACUACAUCUUUGUUUUCAGCGCUGAAUGUCUUUUUUUUUUUUCCGUUCACGCAAUCAAUACAACUUUCAACAACGGAUCUCUUGGCUCCCGCAUCGAUGAAGACCC
rnacentral:misc_RNA from 1 species